rnacentral:lncRNA from 1 species
UUGCGGAUAGGCAGCRCACACCAAUGAUGAUAGGUACGGUGUUUGCUAUUCCGUUGCCUGGGAGUGGGGCCGGAGAAUUGAGUCCAAAAAUGAAGCUGUCUGGAUCUGAGGUCAACCACAAAUUGUCGAAGGUGGAUUGGUUCACAAUUCAUUAUGUUAAGCUUGAAUUGACUAGCAUGAUGCAAUCCAUCCAUGGCAUUAAUUAUGUGUGAAGACCAGCAGUCACAAGAGGAAGAAGAUAAACAGAUAUCCGCUUGUAA